UGGGGUUGUGACUCAGUGGUCAAGUGCUUGCCUAUAUGUGCAAGGCCCUGGGUUCGAUCCUCAGAACCACAA
rnacentral:tRNA from 1 species